CUACGGGAUGCAGCAGUGGGGAAUUUUGCGCAAUGGGGGAAACCCUGACGCAGCAAUACCGCGUGAGUGAAGAAGGCCUUUGGGUCGUAAAGCUCCUUUCUUGGGGAAGAUAGUGACGGUACCCAAGGAAUAAGCACCGGCUAACUCCGUGCCAGCAGGCCGCGGUAAUACGGAGGGUGCAAGCGUUGUUCGGAUUUACUGGGCGUAAAGGGCACGUAGGCGGCACAGCAAGUUAAGGGUGAGAUCCCGGGGCUCAACUCCGGAACUGCUCUUAAAACUGCUGAGCUAGAGAUAGUCAGAGGCGGGUGGAAUUCCAGGUGUAGAGGUGAAAUUCGUAGAUAUCUGGAGGAACACCGGUGGCGAAGGCGGCCCGCUGGGGCUAUUCUGACGCUAAGGUGCGAAAGCGUGGGGAGCAAACGGGAUUAGAUACCCCCGUAGUC
rnacentral:rRNA from 1 species